UCAAUGAAUCUAUUAAGCUUUGUAAGAGCCUUAUAAUUAUUUGCUGUCU
rnacentral:tRNA from 1 species